rnacentral:tRNA from 1 species
GGAGUAGUACUCAAGAGGCUGAAGAGGCGCCCCUGCUAAGGGUGUAGAUCGGGAUACCGGUGCGAGGGUUCAAAUCCCUCCUGCUCCG